rnacentral:rRNA from 1 species
CUGCAUGAAGUUGGAAUCGCUAGUAAUCGCGGAUCAGCAUGCCGCGGUGAAUACGUUCCCGGGCCUUGUACACACCGCCCGUCACACUAUGAGAGUCGGGAACACCCGAAGUCCGUAGCCUGACCGCAAGGGGGCGCGGCCGAAGGUGGGUUCGAUAAUUGGGGUGAAGUCGUAACAAGGUAAC